rnacentral:rRNA from 1 species
GUGAGGAAUUUUCCGCAAUGGGCGAAAGCCUGACGGAGCAAUGCCGCGUGAAGGAUGAAGGCCUAUGGGUUGUAAACUUCUUUUCUUAGAGCAGAAUAUUGACGGUAUCUGAGGAAUAAGCAUCGGCUAACUCUGUGCCAGCAGCCGCGGUAAGACAGAGGAUGCAAGCGUUAUCCGGAAUGAUUGGGCGUAAAGCGUCUGUAGGUGGCUUCAAAAGUCUCCUGUCAAAGAUCAGGGCUUAACCCUGGGCCGGCAGGAGAAACUCUGAGGCUAGAGUUUGGUAGGGGCAGAGGGAAUUCCCGGUGGAGCGGUGAAAUGCGUAGAGAUCGGGAGGAACACCAAAGGCGAAAGCACUCUGCUGGGCCACAACUGACACUGAGAGACGAAAGCGAGGGGAGCAAAAGGGAUUAGAUACCCUGGUAGUCC